GCUGGCUGAAACCCUAGCUUUGCUGGUGCUGGGAGUGUUUCAAGCCAGUUCAGCGGUUUGAUGUGCCUGAGACACGUGCACCCUGGCUCUUUGGGUUACCGAGUUUGCAGUCCUCAGAGGUUCUCUGACACUUGUCUCUCACGUGUGCCAGCAACUCUUCAUGAAGCUCCUGCUAUAGCUUGGCAAAAAUGUCCACGAGUUUCUGAUAUGGAUUUGUCACACUUCCUUUGCUGGAGUACCAGCUCCCUGUUCCAGGAUACACUCAGCCAUCAAUACAGAACAUCACCGGUACCAUAGCAUCCAGAUGUUAUCUUUAAUUGCCUCAUCCAGACUAACAGUCAAAAAGCACGUAUUCAUGCUCAGUUUGAUUCAGAAUGCAAGUAAUGUGGGUAGUGCUACUUUUCAGACAACAGUCCUUCUCAAACAGCAGCAAAAUCCAACAACAAACAUACGCUGUCUCUGCUUUACACAGUGAAAGCCUUGCCUGUAUGUUCAGACUGCCAAUUUUUAUUAGCUACCAACAGCUUGCACACUCACCAAUUUCAUCAGGUAAGUAUCUCACAUGCAGAAAUCUGUAGAACAUGAAAAAUUGACCUUUUUUUUUCCCCCAGUACUUAAGUUAACUGUGAUUAAUAUCGUGCAGUGAGUACAACUAGAAUGGAAAAAAAAAAUCUCUUAAACUUGGUUUAGGUAGAUAUAUUCAUUUCUAAAAUAUUUCUAUGAAAUAUUGAUUAGUGUUAAUUACAAAUGGUUCUCCAUGUCCAGCAGCGAUCCUACUGCUAACUAGCCUGUCUGUCCAUUUACGUUGCAAAGGCAUUCACUGACGCCAAGCUGUGGUUCCACCCAUCUCCACGCAACCAAGCAUUAUUACGGUUUGCUGCACACAGCCAGGCUUAAGAGGCCAAGCUGCUCCUAAGCAGAGCCAUUGCAACUGCACAUUAACAUUUGAAAAUAGUAAAAAAAAACCCAUGGUUUUUCCUUUCCCAAAAGGCAAGGAGAAGAAACACCACUGCCCAACAGGCUGCUAUAUACUGUGCAUACACUAGCAAGUAAGUUGACCCCAGAGCAGGCCUGACAUGUGUAAGUGUACAGACAGAGCUGACCAGAUCUCAGCUCCCCGUCACCUGGCUCCAAACAUGCCCCCAGGGCUGUAAGCCAGGAAGAGCAUAGGAUAUGCCCUCACAAGGAUGCUUGGCCUGGUCUAGAUGGCUGAGGGAUUCAGGACUAACGUGAACCACAGAGUACUCUUACGCCAAAGCGUAGACAGCCACAGCCUCUAUCAGUCUGUUCAGCUACCACUGCAUCCCAGACAAGCGGGCUAUAAGACUGAGUAACUUCUUUUUCUGAAACAAGUGCAAGUCUAGUAGCUGAUUCUGAGGCUUAUGAUCUCACCAGCAGUCAAUCUUCAGGCCUCACAGUCUCAUCACUGGCUCUGACCUCCUGGUCCUCUGGGUAGUCAACUUUCAUACCUUCCAGUCUCUCCAGCAUCUGGCCUGAGCUUAUAGCCACUCGGUCACUUGGCUCCUAUGCUUUUUAUCCUGUUAGUGGGCUUGUCCACCUUGAUAUUUGCUAGAGAUUAUACACUAACAUACAUACCCACACGACGUACACUCCUGUCUUGGCCCCAAACCUGCCAGAGUUCAAGCAGCAUUUGAAUUUUGAGUGGUCCUGAGUGGAGCCAGGAACUGGACGUGAUGAUCCUUGUGUGUUCCUUACAACUUGGGAUAUUCUGUGAUUACAUGAUUCCCAGAGGUGGCUGUUCCCUAUACGGAGAUGGAGACCACCACUCCCCGUUAUUGGCUGUCAUAAUCUGUUUACUGUUGAACCAUUUUGAUGAUCUUCAGGGUUCCUUCCAACACAAGCCAUUCUAUGAUUCUAUCAUUUUAAUUUGUGAUGAAAGACUCCACAGUCAUAAGCAUGAACUGCUGCUAGACCAGUUGAUAAUGUGAAACAUCUAGAGUACUCAGGAGAAUUUGCGAAACCCUUCUAGAAAAUCUUAUGUGUUCUGGUUAAGAAUUAUAUUCCAUUUAAACAUUGAAAAAAAAUAUCAACCAGAAAAAUAAGUUAAUGCACGAUAUAGGUGUUUCAAAAUUACAUCCAAAGAGGGUGGAUGGAAUAUUUCUUCUUGCAUUUUUAAUAAUGUACUUUCUUUUGUCUGUCAGCUGUCGUUCUGACUUCUCUUUAUUCUUAACAUAACAGAGGCCAGUUCCAGACCUGUCCUACCUCACUUCAGUCUAUCUAGGUAACAUAUUAUUAUGCAAUAAUCUACCAGAACAAAGUAUGAAAUC